CCUACGGGGGGCAGCAGUGAGGAAUAUUGGUCAAUGGCCGCAAGGCUGAACCAGCCAAGUCGCGUGAGGGAUGACGGUCCUAUGGAUUGUAAACCUCUUUUGUCAGGGAGCAAAGGGCGCCACGUGUGGCGCUUUGCGAGUACCUGAAGAAAAAGCAUCGGCUAACUCCGUGCCAGCAGCCGCGGUAAUACGGAGUAUGCGAGCGUUAUCCGGAUUUAUUGGGUUUAAAGGGUGCGCAGGCGGAAUGUAAAGUCAGCGGUAAAAUUUCGGGGCUCAACCCCGUCGUGCCGUUGAAACUGGCGUUCUUGAGUGAGCGAGAAGUAUGCGGAAUGCGUGGUGUAGCGGUGAAAUGCAUAGAUAUCACGCAGAACUCCGAUUGCGAAGGCAGCAUACCGGCGCUCAACUGACGCUCAGGCACGAAAGCGUGGGUAUCGAACAGGAUUAGAUACCCUAGUAGUC
rnacentral:rRNA from 1 species